GGAAAGUAGGGUCAAGAGGCGGCGGUAAUAGGGGGGGGGAAAGCGUGAUCCGGAAUUAUGGGGCGUAAAGGGCUCGUAGGCGGUUGGUCGCGUCGGCCGUGAAAGUCCGGGGCUUAACUCCGGAUCUGCGGUGGGUACGGGCAGGCUAGAGUGCUGUAUGGGGGACUGGAAUUCCUGGUGUAGCGGUGAAAUGCGCAGAUAUCAGGAGGAACACCGAUGGCGAAGGCAGGUCUCUGGGCAGUAACUGACGCUGAGGAGCGAAAGCAUGGGGAGCGAACAGGAUUAGAUACCCCAGUAGUC
rnacentral:rRNA from 1 species